UCGGGGCUGGGGCUGGGUGCGCUCCGGUGGCGGCUCCUGGGCUGGAGGGGGCAGGUUUCUCACCAGCGUUCUCGCCUUUUAAUAUAAGUAUUAGAUUUAAAAUCACUCCUGCCUGUCUGCUAACAGGAGGUGUUAUAAACUUAGCACAGAAAUCUCGUACCGUUGCUAGCCUGUAUUUCGUUUUUAAUUUCAACAGGUAAUUUGAGCAGUCAUUUAUGGCAUCGUUUUUCUCGUGCAGGACUCUCACUUCUUUGAGAUAGUCGUAAGAUCUGCAGGCAUGCCCAGGGUUGGAAUCUGAAUCUGCAUGGCGCUGCUCCCCAGACUGUAGAUAAGACACUCGAAAUCAUGAAGUGGAUUUUAUUUUUGUCUUCUCAUAGAUUCACAGGCUAUACCGAGUUGGAAGGGAUCCACAAGGAUCCUCGAGUCCAGCUCUUAAGUAAAUGUCCAGUACAGAUAUUGCACCCACCGCCUUGGUGUUACCAGCUCCAUGUUCUAGCCAACUGCAACUUCGGAAAAUUAACAGAUUUAACUGCGAAUAUCCAUGUGUUCUGUCAAUGAACCCACACAUCACCAUAAGGACAUCACAACAUCCCAGCUGUAUGCUGCUCUGCUUGAGGAUUUUGAAGCCCAGAUUGCCUGGUCUGGUGGAAAUAUUUCUGGUGGAGAUACAUAGGUGCAAGCUCUGCCAUUUCACAAGCAGGAUCAAAAGUAAGAUCAGGAAACCCCUGGCUCAAAUCUGUGAAACUGAUAUGGCAUGUCGAAUUUCAGGCUGCCCUAAAAUGGACCAAGGUAAAAAUGAGCUUUGGAGAUGAAAAGAAUAAAAACAAAGAAAAUCUUGCAAAAAAUUGCUCUCUUGUUGCCUGUGUGUCAGAUGCCUUAAAAUAAGAAUCCUUGCUGUUGUCACAUGAGCUCAAGCAUAAUCCUCAUGCAUCUCACUCCUGUGAAAUGAACACCUUGUUUGGAGAAGUAGCAGCUUAUUUCCUUGAGCAGGAAUUUCCUAUAGCAGCUUGAGGAACCCUGCAGUGCUGACUUCUCUUCCAUAUUCCAAGAGAAAAGACAGACAAACCCAGUCUAUGCCUCUUAGCCUCUGUCACAUUUCCUGUGUUAGAACCCAGACAUUUGCUGGGGAAAUAAAAAACCCCUAAGGCUCAAUCAGGGUAUAAACAUAAUGGGAAAAUCAGUUGAAAAUCCAAUUGGAAGCUGGAUCUAAAGGCUCAACUCACCCUAUGGAAGAGGCUUGUGCCUUAAAGCUGAGUUCUGAGAGAAAACAGCAUUAGAGCCACAAGAUGCUGAGAAAAUCCAUUUAAAGGGUCAUGAUGUGGAUCAUGGCUUUAAAUGUGUUUAUUGUCACAUGACUGAGUAGAUCUUAAUGGAAAAUGAUUGAAAAUCACACAUGUGGGUAAAAGAAACCUGCCAGUGCUUCGUCUGUGAGAGUGCUUUUAUAUCACUUUAUGAAGUGCCUGGAAGGUGCACAGAAACACCCCUCAGAGGAAACCUCAUCUCAGUGCACAUCAUCUGAAACUGAGCAGAUAAGCAAUUUUCAAGUAGCUUGCUUGGCAUUAUCAGGACAUGGUUAUGUGCCCACACAGUGAUUUUACCAAUUAACAUAUUUGCUCUGGUUUUAAGCUACUGCAACAAACCAUGGCUUUUAAUACAGCUAAGGAAUGGAUCAAGGCCUGCAAGCAUCUGUGCAAGCACAGACCCUUCAGAGUUACUGGCUUCAACUCCCUCACAACAUCCUUACAUGUGUUUGUGGUAUCUUGACUAAACCAUGCUGGUG